rfam:Triticum aestivum genome assembly, contig: Triticum_aestivum_CS42_TGACv1_scaffold_513374_6BS
GAAGUACCCCCUCCGUCCAAAAAAUCUUGUCUUAUAUUUGUAGAUAUGGAUGUAUUUAAUACUAAAACGCGACUUGAUACAUCCAUAUUUAGAUAAAUUUAAGACAAGAAUUUUUGGACAGAGGGAGUACAUA